GCCGGGCGAGGUGGUGGGCGCCUGUAGUCCCAGCUACUCGGGAGGCUGAGGCAGGAGAAUGGCGUGAACCUGGGAGGCGGAGCUUGCAGUGAGCUGAGAUCCAGCCACUGCACUCCAGCCUGGGAGACAGAGUGAGACUCCGUCUCAAAAAAAAAAAAAGAGAUGGGGUCUCACUCAGUCGCCCAGGUUGGAGUGCAGUGGUGCGAUCUCAGCUCACUGCAAGCUCUGCCUCCUGGAUUCACACCAUUCUCCUGCCUCAG
rnacentral:SRP_RNA from 1 species